rnacentral:tRNA from 2 species
GGGCGUGUGGCUCAGUUGGUAGAGCGUUCGCUUAGCAUUAUGCCUUCCUGGUGUAUGCGAAAGGUCCUGGGUUCGAUUCCCAGCUCGUCCA